AACGAACGGAACGGAACGGAACAAAAAAAAAUUGGAACAAUAACAACAAAAGCAAUUCUUUGUUGUUUGUUGGGAUACCUUUUUUGCAUUUUGCAUUGCAUUGCAUCCUCUCCCU
rnacentral:ribozyme from 1 species